CUCAGACCCCACCUGCGGCGCGGGUGCAAGUCAGAGGAUGACAUAGAGGACAUGGAGAUAAAGAAGGCUCCGGGGGUAUGGCGGCGGUCGAGGCCGCGCUGGAGGAGGUGCAAAACCCCCCCCGGCGCGGUCGCCAGCGCCCGCCCGCUGGUGAUUGUAGGGUAGGUCAGCAGAAUGGGACUUGGGCGUGGGCGGCGGCCCGCGGGGGUCUGGUGGCGCCGUGUGGUUGGGCGGGCCGACGAGGGCCUCCUACCCAGGAGGCCGGCGCCUUAGGGUAGGCAGCGCAGCGCGCAGCGCCUCGUGGGCCGUGGACUGUGGGCGGCGCCCUCGAAAGAGACCAAAUAGUAGGGUAGCUGCGGGCGUCUGGCGCGGGCGCGACGAGUCUUACGAAUAGGGUAGGGCUAGGGUAGUCCGGCUACUGAGAGUAGGGUAGGAGCGGUAGGGUAAGCGGAGGCGCGCCAAACACGGCAGUCUCGAGCGUUAGGCGCCUCGAGGCAGCUAUAGGGUAGGUUAGUAAAUUAUGAUGGUAAGCAGCUCGCAUCCGUGUAGAAUCCUUGGGCUUGUAUACUAGCGAAGGUACCGGCUUGCUUAGAGGCUAAUAAGUAAUAAAAGACUACUAGUUUUAAUUAUUAUUAAAGUAUUAUAUACUACGAUACUUAUUUGAAAUACCUCGUAUACUAGUAUUAUAAUAUUUACAGAGCGUGCAGCGUUAUAUAUAGUAUAUAGUAUUAUAGUAAAUAAGAUAAACCUACUUAAAUACGUUAUUCUUAUACUUUAAUUACCUAGAUAAUAUUCCUAAGUUAUAUAACAUACGUUUCGGUUAAUCUUAUACUUAUUUACAGUAUACUUUCUUUCUUCCUUUUCUUCAUUACCUUCUUAUUCUUAUUUUCCUUAUUUAUUUCUAUUCCUCGAUCUCUCUCUCUCUCCCUUUAUAUAUACAUACGUGUACCUAACCCCAUCUUAACAGUUACUCUAUAAUAAACACUACCUAUAGUAUGCAAAUAGAUAGGAUAUUUACUUUGAUAUAUUCAUACUAUACCUUUUGUAUGAGGUAUAUAAAUAACCAGUCAAGCUUCUUAUACGUAACUAUAUAGAUAGCGUGCAGCUAGACCGUAAGCUACCCUACAAGCCCCGGCUAUAGGGUAGGUAGACAGAGCGGGUGUAGGGUAGGUCACCUACCCUACACCCGCGCUCGACGCUCGCCGCGCUCGCCCCAGGGCCUUCCCCAGCCCUGCAGGCGCCUCCCACCCGCCCUAGGAGGCGCGGUCCCACGCGUGACGAAGGUACGAAUCGGCGUGCGCCGCACGCGGCCGGUUUGUGCGGCGGGAGUCGAUUUUUAGAAUUCGCCAUACAAAUUCGCUUGGCGGAAGUGUCCACCUGCGGCGGACCCGCUCGGCGCACGCGCCACUUCACAUCGAUGUCGGUGGGUAUAUGAGGGGGGAAAGGAAAAAGAGAGAAAAGAGAGGCGGCGGCCCCCGGCAGUGCGGCACCUCCCCUGGGAGUCCCGAUCAGCGGUCCUGUAUAGGCGCUGCGGCCCUGGAGCGUGACUUAUACCUGCGGGCGGCUCAGCCCUCGCCUUCCCCCCCUGAGAUGCACACCCUGCGCCCUGGAACCACGGGCGCCAGGAGAGCACCCGCUGAGCUGGCGCCUGAGCGGCGCGAAUUCGGCGCGCGGGCUGCUCGGCUUGUCCGGGCACCCCCGCGCUAGACCCUGUUCCAUCACAUCACCGGCCGCUAACGCGAGGAUUCCACGGUCCCCUCGAGCGUUGACGAGAGUUCUACGUUAGCGGCCAGUCCCCCGGCCUCCGCCACCCGCUUGCGAGUGGCGCCGGUCCGGGGCGCCCGAAGGCGCUAGGGAUUCGUCCCUCAGCGCCGCCGGAUGGGCUCUGUGGGCGGUUGGCAGAUUGCUAUACCUACUGAAAGAGCAUCGGGAGAUACCCGCCCUCUGGGGACGCUGAACAGCUGAACCUCUGGGCUCGCGGUCUCCUCUUGGGGCGCUUAGGCGGUACUCGACGGCCGUAAGGUCGUUCCCGUACCUGCCGACAGCGCUCUGGGAAAUCGAGAGGGGGAAGGUGGAUGCCUGCCUCGGCGCGUCUGGCCCUGCCGGGCGCGCUGCGGUGGGCGCGGCACCCGUCAAAAGGUCCGCUUACCGGUAACUAAACAACUCUUCCGCCCUGAAAUACGGGCGGUCGGCCAACCCCGGCGCACGAUAGU
rnacentral:misc_RNA from 1 species